UAGCCUAGUGGUAAAGGCUUUGGAUUGCCAAUCCGGAGAUGGCGGGUUCGAUUCCCGU
rfam:Aedes albopictus isolate Foshan contig120073, whole genome shotgun sequence.